GGAAACUGUAUCUGAGACGGGAAAUGGAUCAUGUUGCUUCAGAAUGGAAGUGAGGAAAGGCAACCAGCUGACACAGGAGCCAGAGUGAGACCAGCAGACUCUCACACUCAACCUACACCAUGAAUUUGUGUCUAUCUUCUACGCGUUAAGAGCCAAGGACAGGUGAAGUUGCCAGAGAGCAAUGGCUCUCUUCACUCCGUGGAAGUUGUCCUCUCAGAAGCUGGGCUUUUUCCUGGUGACUUUUGGCUUCAUUUGGGGUAUGAUGCUUCUGCACUUUACCAUCCAGCAGCGA
rnacentral:lncRNA from 1 species